rnacentral:rRNA from 1 species
GAUGAACGCUAGCGGCAGGCCUAAUACAUGCAAGUCGGACGGGAUUCAGGAGCUUGCUUCUGAUGAGAGUGGCGCACGGGUGCGUAACACGUAUGUAACCUACCUUUAUCAGGGGGAUAGCCUCUCGAAAGAGAGAUUAAGCCCGCAUAAAAUCACAGCACAGCAUUGUGUAAUGAUCAAAUAUUUAUAGGAUAAAGAUGGGCAUGCGGAACAUUAGCUAGAUGGCGGGGUAACGGCCCACCAUGGCGACGAUGUUUAGGGGAUCUGAGAGGAUGGCCCCCCACACUGGUACCGAGACACGGACCAGACUCCUACGGGAGGCAGCAGUAAGGAAUAUUGGUCAAUGGGAGGAAGCCUGAACCAGCCAUGCCGCGUGCAGGAAGACGGCCCUACGGGUUGUAAACUGCUUUUAUACGGGAAUAAACCCAGAUACGUGUAUCUGGCUGAAUGUACUGUAAGAAUAAGGAUCGGCUAACUACGUG